AAGCUACUCCCUCCGUCCCAAAAUUCUUGUCUUAGAUUUGUCUAAAUACGAAUGUAUCAAGUCACGUUUUAGUAUUAGAUACAUCCGUAUCUAGACAAAUCUAAGACAAGAAUUUUCGGACAGAGGGAGUACAUC
rnacentral:pre_miRNA from 1 species